GACGUAGGGCGCGAGCGUUGUCCGGAUUUAUUGGGCGUAAAGAGCUCGUAGGCGGCUUGUUGCGUCGACUGUGAAAACCCGCGGCUUAACCGCGGGCCUGCAGUUGAUACGGGCAGGCUAGAGUUCGGUAGGGGAGACUGGAAUUCCCAGUGUAGCGGUGAAAUGCGUAGAUAUUGGGAGGAACACCAGUGGCGAAGGCGGCUCACUGGACCGGUACUGACGCUGAGGAGCGAAAGCGUGGGGAGCAAACAGG
rnacentral:rRNA from 1 species